rnacentral:rRNA from 1 species
UAUGGGGCAAGCGUUAUCCGGAUUUACUGGGUGUAAAGGGAGCGCAGGCGGUCUUGCAAGUCUGAUGUGAAAGCCCGAGGCUCAACCACGGGCCUGCAUUGGAAACUGUGAGACUGGAGUGUCGGAGGGGCAAGUGGAAUUCCUAGUGUAGCGGUGAAAUGCGUAGAUAUUAGGAGGAACACCAGUGGCGAAGGCGGCUUGCUGGACGACAACUGACGCUGAGGCUCGAAAGCGUGGGGAGCAAA